GGUCGUAUGGCCUAAUGGAUAAGGCGCUUGACUUCGGAUCAAGAGAUUGCAGGUUCGAGUCCUGCUACGAUCG
rnacentral:tRNA from 1 species